GCGAUGGGGGGACGGAUCGCGGAAGGUUGUCUGACUGUUGGAAUAGUCAGUUUCUGGUUCAUAGAAGGUGCUUAGGCAAAUCCGGGCACGUAAUUCAAGGGACUGGGACGAAGAACUUAGGUUCUGUAGCAAUCGGAAGUGGUUCCAAGAAAAGCCUCUAAGCUUCAGUCAUACGAGACCGUACCGCAAACCGACACAGGUGGGCAGGAUGAGAAUUCUAAGGCGCUUGAGAGAACUCGGGAGAAGGAACUCGGCAAAUUGAUACCGUAACUUCGGGAGAAGGUAUGCCCUCUAAGGUUAAGGAUUUGCUCCGUAAGCCCUGGAGGGUCGCAGAGAAUAGGUGGCUGCGACUGUUUAUUAAAAACACAGCACUC
rnacentral:rRNA from 1 species